AUUGAACGCUGGCGGCAUGCUUUACACAUGCAAGUCGAACGGCAGCGCGGGCUUCGGCCUGGCGGCGAGUGGCGAACGGGUGAGUAAUGCAUCGGAACGUGCCCAGUAGUGGGGGAUAGCCCGGCGAAAGCCGGAUUAAUACCGCAUACGACCUGAGGGUGAAAGCGGGGGACCGAAAGGCCUCGCGCUAUUGGAGCGGCCGAUGUCGGAUUAGCUAGUUGGUGGGGUAAAGGCUUACCAAGGCGACGAUCCGUAGCUGGUCUGAGAGGACGACCAGCCACACUGGGACUGAGACACGGCCCAGUCUCCUACGGGAGGCAGAAGUGGGGAAUUUUGGACAAUGGGGGCAACCCUGAUCCAGCCAUGCCGCGUGCGGGAAGAAGGCCUUCGGGUGGUAAACCGCUUUUGUUCGGGAAGAAAUCCUCUGGGCUAAUACCCCGGGGGGAUGACGGUACCGGAAGAAUAAGCACCGGCUAACUACGU
rnacentral:rRNA from 1 species